ensembl:misc_RNA Metazoa_SRP Metazoan signal recognition particle RNA
GCCAGGCAUGGUGGCGCAUGCCUGUAGUCCCGGCUACUUGGGAGGCUGAGGCAGGAGAAUCGCUUGAACCCAGGAGGCAGAGGUGCAGUGAGCCGAGGUGCACUCCAGCCUGGGUGACAGAGCGAGACUCCGUCUCAA